rnacentral:rRNA from 1 species
GACGUAGGGGGCCAGCGUUGUUCGGAAUUACUGGGUGUAAAGGGUUCGUAGGCGGUGCGGCAAGUUGGGAGUGAAAUCUCUGGGCUUAACCCAGAGGCUGCUUCCAAAACUGCUGUGCUUGAGUGUGGGAGAGGCGCGUGGAAUUGCAGGUGUAGCGGUGAAAUGCGUAGAUAUCUGCAGGAACACCCGUGGCGAAAGCGGCGCGCUGGACCACUACUGACGCUGAGGAACGAAAGCUAGGGGGGCAAACAGG